UCCUAACAUCUUUACUGUGAUGUUUGAGAUUUAUUUUAAUGGAGGAAUUGGUGAUCCAUCCUCAGUAUGUAACUUUACCUGCCAGGAUUGAAGAAGAUGGUGAGAUCUUGAUGCAGUUUCACAACUCUGCAGCACCAGAAACCUCAACUGGCACGGCCUGAGGUAAACAACAGCUGUCAACAUUCAGCAACAUAAGCAGCAUCAUUUCUUUGCCAGAACCCAUGACAGUCAAGUAAGGGU
rnacentral:lncRNA from 1 species